UGGAUGGUGUUCUAGUGAAGAAGCCAUCAUCUGAUAGGAGUAGAUUGUCGUCAUUGUCUUUGACAGAUACUGGUAGCGCAUCUUCGUCAUCAUCCAGUGGAAAGAACUAUAAGCAGGACCUCUGUGUGUCUUACGUAGAGAAUUCUGGUUAUUGCCGUCAUGGAGCAAAAUGCCAGUUCGCACAUGGAAAUAAGGAGCUGCGUCCAUCACCAGUAUCCUACAAGAGCCCACAUGAGACCCCUUGCAAGAAUUACAGCGCAGGAACUUGUUCUUUUGGCUCCAAGUGCCGCUUUCUGCACUAUGAAUCAUCCACAACAUCAUCUCCAACAGUGACCACUUCAGCUAUUAAGCAGGACGAGCCCACAAGCAGCAGCAUUGCGAAACUUAAAAGCAUAAAUUGGGCCCCUGCAGAUGAUGGUAUUGACAUUCAAACUUCAGAUGAAGAUUUCGAUGCUUGCGUGAACAAGGUUCUAUAUGGUCCCAAAAGAAAUAAGAGGCUGCCAGUAUUCAGUCAGAUUUGCCCAGAGUAGCCGGUUAUUCUAAACCCUCUUUACAAUCUCAACAAACUCCCAUUACUAUAUGCAUACUCUUCUAUUCUUUUGUGAAUGAUUUAGCUAAAGAAACAUACUUGGUUGAGGGGUUAACGCCCUUUUGACAGAACUGCAUACUUACAAGUAAAACUGUGUAUUCUGCUUG